rnacentral:rRNA from 1 species
UAGUCCACGCCGUAAACGAUGCUCACUCGAUGUUUGGCUAUAAGCUGAGUGUCUAAGGGAAACCGAUAAGUGAGCCACCUGGGGAGUACGAUCGCAAGGUUGAAACUCAAAGGAAUUGACGGGGGCCCGCACAAGCGGUGGAGCAUGUGGUUUAAUUCGAUGAUACGCGAGGAACCUUACCAGGGCUUAAAUGCAGAUUGACAGGGAUGGAGACAUCUUUUUCUUCGGACAAUUUGCAAGGUGCUGCAUGGUUGUCGUCAGCUCGUGCCGUGAGGUGUCAGGUUAAGUCCUAUAACGAGCGCAACCCCUGUUGUUAGUUGCCAGCGAGUGAUGUCGGGAACUCUAACAAGACUGCCGGUGCAAACCGUGAGGAAGGUGGGGAUGACGUCAAAUCAUCACGGCCCUUACGUCCUGGGCCACACACGUGCUACAAUGGUAGGGACAGAGAGCAGCCACACCGCGAGGUGGAGCGAAUCUAUAAACCCUAUCACAGUUCGG